UGGGGAAUUUUGGACAAUGGGGGAAACCCUGAUCCAGCCAUCCCGCGUGUGCGAUGAAGGCCUUCGGGUUGUAAAGCACUUUUGGCAGGAAAGAAACGUCAUGGGUUAAUACCCCGUGAAACUGACGGUACCUGCAGAAUAAGCACCGGCUAACUACGUGCCAGCAGCCGCGGUAAUACGUAGGGUGCAAGCGUUAAUCGGAAUUACUGGGCGUAAAGCGUGCGCAGGCGGUUCGGAAAGAAAGAUGUGAAAUCCCAGAGCUCAACUUUGGAACUGCAUUUUUAACUACCGGGCUAGAGUGUGUCAGAGGGAGGUGAAAUUCCGCGUGUAGCAGUGAAAUGCGUAGGUAUGCGGAGGCACACCGAUGGCGAAGGCAGCCUCCUGGGAUAACACUGACGCUCAUGCACGAAAGCGUGGGGAGCAAACAGG
rnacentral:rRNA from 1 species